CAAACAAUAUAAAAUAUAGGUUUAAUCAAUAUGUAUCAUUGAUUAAUUAAAAGGGAAUCAGGUGAAAACCCUGAACUAUCCCGUAGCUGUAUUAGAAGAAUUUAUGUGCAAUAUGCCACUUGAAAUCAGGGAAGGCGCACAUAAGUGAUGAUUCUUAAGUCAGAAGACCUGCCUAUGUUUUGAAGCAUUA
rnacentral:ncRNA from 2 species